GACGAACGCUGGCGGCGUGCCUAAUACAUGCGAGUAGAACGCUGAAGGAGGAGCUUGCUCUUCUGGAUGAGUUGCGAACGGGUGAGUAACGCGUAGGUAACCUGCCUGGUAGCGGGGGAUAACUAUUGGAAACGAUAGCUAAUACCGCAUAACAGUAGAUGUUGCAUGACAUUUGCUUAAAAGGUGCAAUUGCACCACUACCAGAUGGACCUGCGUUGUAUUAGCUAGUUGGUGGGGUAACGGCUCACCAAGGCGACGAUACAUAGCCGACCUGAGAGGGUGAUCGGCCACACUGGGACUGAGACACGGCCCAGACUCCUACGGGAGGCAGCAGUAGGGAAUCUUCGGCAAUGGACGGAAGUCUGACCGAGCAACGCCGCGUGAGUGAAGAAGGGUUUCGGAUCGUAAAGCUCUGUUGUAAGAGAAGAACGAGUGUGAGAGUGGAAAGUUCACACUGUGACGGUAUCUUACCAGAAAGGGACGGCUAACUACGUG
rnacentral:rRNA from 1 species